AGGAUAAACGCUGGCGGCGUGCCUAACACAUGCAAGUCGAACGCGCUUUCGGGCUUCGGUGCGAGAGCGAGUGGCGGACGGGUGAGUAACACAUGGGUACCUACCUUGGAGUGAGGGAUACCGGCGAGAAAUCGCCGACAAUACCGCAUAGGCUUCUUCACAAGGGAAGCAAAGUGACGCGAGUCACGCUGUGAGAUGGGCCUGUGGCCGAUUAGCUAGUUGGGGGGGUAACGGCUUCCCAAGGCGACGAUCGGUAGCUGGUCUGAGAGGACGAUCAGCCACACUGGGAUUGAGAACGGCCCAGACUCCUACGGGGGCAGCAGUGAGGAAUUUUCCGCAAUGGAGGCAACUCUGACGGAGCAACGCCGCGUGCAGGAGGAAGGUUUUCGGAUCGUAAACUGCUUUUCUCGGGGACGAGCAAGGACGGUACCCGAGGAAGAAGCCCCGGCUAACUACGUGCCAGCAGCCGC
rnacentral:rRNA from 1 species